UACGUAGGGGGCUAGCGUUGUCCGGAUUUAUUGGGCGUAAAGAGCGUGUAGGCGGCCAGGUAGGUCUGCUGUGAAAACUCGAGGCUCAACCUCGAGACGUCGGCGGAAACCAUCUGGCUAGAGUCCGGAAGAGGAGAGUGGAAUUCCGUGGUGUAGCGGUGAAAUGCGCAGAUAUCAGGAAGAACACCCGUGGCUAAGGCGGUUCUCUAGUACGGUACUGACGCUGAGACGCGAAAGCGUGGGGGAGCGAACAGG
rnacentral:rRNA from 1 species